rnacentral:rRNA from 1 species
GGUUAAGUUAAUAAGGGCGCACGGUGGAUGCCUUGGCACUAGAAGCCGAUGAAGGACGUGACUAACGACGAAAUGCUUUGGGGAGCUGUAAGUGAGCAAUGAUCCAGAGAUGUCCGAAUGGGGGAACCCGGCAGGUAAUGCCUGUCACUCAUUACUGUUAAGGUAAUGUAGAGGAAGACGCAGUGAACUGAAACAUCUAAGUAGCUGUAGGAAGAGAAAGCAAAAGCGAUUGCCUUAGUAGCGGCGAGCGAAACGGCAAGAGGGCAAACCGAAGAGUUUACUCUUCGGGGUUGUAGGACUGUAACGUGGACUUAAAGAUUAUAGAAGAACUACCUGGGAAGGUAGGCCAAAGAGAGUAAUAGCCUCGUAUUCGAAAUAGUCUUUAUACCUAGCAGUAUCCUGAGUACGGCGAGACACGAGAAAUCUCGUCGGAAUCUGGGAGGACCAUCUCCCAACCCUAAAUACUCUCUAGUGACCGAUAGUGAACCAGUACCGUGAGGGAAAGGUGAAAAGCACCCCGGGAGGGGAGUGAAAUAGAACCUGAAACCGUGUGCCUACAACAAGUUCGAGCCCGUUAAUGGGUGAGAGCGUGCCUUUUGUAGAAUGAACCGGCGAGUUACGAUAUGAUGCGAGGUUAAGUUGAAGAGACGGAGCCGUAGGGAAACCGAGUCUUAAUAGGGCGCAUUAGUAUCAUGUCGUAGACCCGAAACCAUGUGACCUACCCAUGAGCAGGUUGAAGGUGAGGUAAAACUCACUGGAGGACCGAACCAGGGCACGUUGAAAAGUGCUUGGAUGACUUGUGGGUAGCGGAGAAAUUCCAAACGAACUUGGAGAUAGCUGGUUCUCUCCGAAAUAGCUUUAGGGCUAGCGUCGAUGUUAAGUCUCUUGGAGGUAGAGCACUGUUUGGGUGAGGGGUCCAUCCCGGAUUACCAAUCUCAGAUAAACUCCGAAUGCCAAUGAGAUAUAAUCGGCAGUCAGACUGCGAGUGCUAAGAUCCGUAGUCGAAAGGGAAACAGCCCAGACCACCAGCUAAGGUCCCAAAAUAUAUGUUAAGUGGAAAAGGAUGUGGGGUUGCACAGACAACUAGGAUGUUAGCUUAGAAGCAGCUAUUCAUUCAAAGAGUGCGUAAUAGCUCACUAGUCGAGUGACCCUGCGCCGAAAAUGUACCGGGGCUAAAACAUAUUACCGAAGCUGUGGAUACCUUUAUAGGUAUGGUAGGAGAGCGUUCUAUGUGCGAAGAAGGUGUACCGUGAGGAGUGCUGGAGCGCAUAGAAGUGAGAAUGCCGGUAUGAGUAGCGAAAGACAGGUGAGAAUCCUGUCCACCGUAAGACUAAGGUUUCCAGGGGAAGGCUCGUCCGCCCUGGGUUAGUCGGGACCUAAGGAGAGACCGAAAGGUGUAUCCGAUGGACAACAGGUUGAUAUUCCUGUACUAGAGUAUAUAGUGAUGGAGGGACGCAGUAGGCUAACUAAACCAGACGAUUGGAAGUGUCUGGCCAAGCAGUGAGGUGUGAUAUGAGUCAAAUGCUUAUAUCUUUAACAUUGAGCUGUGAUGGGGAGCGAAGUUUAGUAGCGAAGUUAGUGAUGUCACACUGCCGAGAAAAGCUUCUAGCGUUAAUUAUACUCUACCCGUACCGCAAACCGACACAGGUAGUCGAGGCGAGUAGCCUCAGGUGAGCGAGAGAACUCUCGUUAAGGAACUCGGCAAAAUGGCCCCGUAACUUCGGGAGAAGGGGCGCUGACUGAUGGUCAGCCGCAGUGAAUAGGCCCAAGCAACUGUUUAUCAAAAACACAGCUCUCUGCUAAAUCGUAAGAUGAUGUAUAGGGGGUGACGCCUGCCCGGUGCUGGAAGGUUAAGAGGAGUGCUUAGCGUAAGCGAAGGCAUGAAUUGAAGCCCCAGUAAACGGCGGCCGUAACUAUAACGGUCCUAAGGUAGCGAAAUUCCUUGUCGGGUAAGUUCCGACCCGCACGAAAGGCGUAAUGAUUUGGGCACUGUCUCAACGAGAGACUCGGUGAAAUUUUAGUACCUGUGAAGAUGCAGGUUACCCGCGACAGGACGGAAAGACCCCAUGGAGCUUUACUGCAGUUUGAUAUUGAGUAUCUGUACCACAUGUACAGGAUAGGUAGGAGCCUAUGACCUCGGGACGCCAGUUUCGAGUGAGGCGUUGUUGGGAUACUACCCUUGUGUUAUGGCUACUCUAACCCAGAUAGGUUAUCCCUAUCGGAGACAGUGUCUGACGGGCAGUUUGACUGGGGCGGUCGCCUCCUAAAAGGUAACGGAGGCGCCCAAAGGUUCCCUCAGAAUGGUUGGAAAUCAUUCGCAGAGUGUAAAGGUAUAAGGGAGCUUGACUGCGAGAGCUACAACUCGAGCAGGGACGAAAGUCGGGCUUAGUGAUCCGGUGGUUCCGUAUGGAAGGGCCAUCGCUCAACGGAUAAAAGCUACCCUGGGGAUAACAGGCUUAUCUCCCCCAAGAGUUCACAUCGACGGGGAGGUUUGGCACCUCGAUGUCGGCUCGUCGCAUCCUGGGGCUGUAGUCGGUCCCAAGGGUUGGGCUGUUCGCCCAUUAAAGCGGCACGCGAGCUGGGUUCAGAACGUCGUGAGACAGUUCGGUCCCUAUCCGUCGCGGGCGUAGGAAAUUUGAGAGGAUCUGCUCCUAGUACGAGAGGACCAGAGUGGACUUACCGCUGGUGUACCAGUUGUUCUGCCAAGAGCAUCGCUGGGUAGCUAUGUAGGGAAGGGAUAAACGCUGAAAGCAUCUAAGUGUGAAGCCCACCUCAAGAUGAGAUUUCCCAUGAUUUUAUAUCAGUAAGAGCCCUGAGAGAUGAUCAGGUUGAUAGGUUAGAAGUGGAAGUGUGGUGACACAUGUAGCGGACUAAUACUAAUAGCUCGAGGACUUAUCCAA